CUGUGCAAAGGUAGCAUAAUCAUUAGUUUUUUAAUUGAAAGCUGGAAUGAAGGGUUUGAUAAGAAAAAUUCUUUUUCAAUUUUAAAAUUAAAAUUUUAUUUUUAAGUUAAAAAGCUUAGAUGUUUUAAAAAGACGAGAAGACCCUAUAGAGUUUUAUAAAAUAAAUUUUUUUAUUAUUUUAGAUUUAAAUUUAUUUAAAUAGUUAAUUUUGUUUUAUUGGGGUGAUAUAAAAAUUAGUUUAACUUUUUAUUUAUUUUUACACUAAUUAGUGAAUUUUUGAUCCUAAAGUUUAGAUUAUAAGAUAAAAUUACCUUAGGGAUAACAGCGUAAUUUUUUUUAGAGUUCUUAUUGAAAAAAAAGUUUGCGACCUCGAUGUUGGAUUAAAGUUAAAUUUUGGUGCAGAAGCUAAAAGGUUAGGUCUGUUCGACCUUUAAAACU
rnacentral:rRNA from 1 species